ensembl:lncRNA
CGAGACCUCAAGUCCAUGGUUCUGGAGAGCCUUUAGUCCAGCAAAGACUCAUAGGAGACCCUGGAGGACCUGCGAGUCCUUGGAAUCCACACGGGUGGCUCAAACUUCUGAGUACCAUCAUAUUCAUGUCCAAGAGUGUCUGGAAGGCAUCCCUCUUGGCCCACAGAGUGUGAUGCAGCCAGAAGGGCCUCAAGAGAGCUGAGCAGAAGCUGCUGCCAUGCUGUUGGACCUCUAUAGCUGGCACACGGAAGGUUCGUGCCUAUGGACUGCAUUUCAUACCUCCAGUUACCACAGAGUGAAUUAUGGGAAAGGACAUGCGUGACCGGACGCGGACCUGACUCAGCUGCCUGUCAGUCACGUCUUCAAUCACGCCCUGGACGACUCAGUGGGAGGCGCUCUAGACCUGGCCGGACAUCUUAAAUUGUUAAACCCAACACCUCAGCGCUUGUGACAUUUUCCUUUCAGCCACCAGGAGCCGCUCCCUCUGAGCGUACCAUCACCUGAUUAAAGCUGCUGCUGUUUCUUUACUGUAGUGUGCCACUUGCAGCUCUUUGUUCAUCAUGCACAAGAACCUAGGAACCCGUCUGCGAGGGACCUUGCCACCCACGGGCUGUGCACAGAGCGCCCACCUCGCUGUGAAUCCCGGGGUGGGGAGCAGCAGGCAAGAAAGGGGUGUCCCCCUCACCGCACAGCCCUCCUUCGGAAGAGUGUGGGGCGGCUUCCAGAAGCAGCCAUGAGCAGUCCUCCCACCCACACCUGGCUGAGGUCAGUCCCCAGGAGAGCAGCAGGAUGUCAGGGAGACGCAAUGAGGAGUGUGAGAGAGAUCGGACCCGGGCCGUGCAAAGGGAGGCUGCAGAACUCUGGUGCGAGUGAGCCGGAGGGCGCGUGGUUAGGGAAGGGAG